GGGUUGUGAGGUUAAGCGACUAAGCGUACACGGUGGAUGCCCUGGCAGUCAGAGGCGAUGAAGGACGUGCUAAUCUGCGAAAAGCGUCGGUAAGGUGAUAUGAACCGUUAUAACCGGCGAUGUCCGAAUGGGGAAACCCAGUGUGAUUCGUCACACUAUCGUUAACUGAAUACAUAGGUUAACGAGGCGAACCGGGGGAACUGAAACAUCUAAGUACCCCGAGGAAAAGAAAUCAACCGAGAUUCCCCCAGUAGCGGCGAGCGAACGGGGAGCAGCCCAGAGUCUGAAUCAGCUUGUGUGUUAGUGGAACGGUCUGGAAAGUCCGACGGUACAGGGUGAUAGUCCCGUACACCAAAAUGCACAGGUUGUGAACUCGAAGAGUAGGGCGGGACACGUGGUAUCCUGUCUGAAUAUGGGGGGACCAUCCUCCAAGGCUAAAUACUCCUGACUGACCGAUAGUGAACCAGUACCGUGAGGGAAAGGCGAAAAGAACCCCGGCGAGGGGAGUGAAAAAGAACCUGAAACCGUGUACGUACAAGCAGUGGGAGCACCUUUAUGGUGUGACUGCGUACCUUUUGUAUAAUGGGUCAGCGACUUAUAUUCUGUAGCAAGGUUAACCGUAUAGGGGAGCCGCAGGGAAACCGAGUCUUAACUGGGCGUUAAGUUGCAGGGUAUAGACCCGAAACCCGGUGAUCUAGCCAUGGGCAGGUUGAAGGUUGGGUAACACUAACUGGAGGACCGAACCGACUAAUGUUGAAAAAUUAGCGGAUGACUUGUGGCUGGGGGUGAAAGGCCAAUCAAACCGGGAGAUAGCUGGUUCUCCCCGAAAGCUAUUUAGGUAGCGCCUCGUGAACUCAUCUUCGGGGGUAGAGCACUGUUUCGGCUAGGGGGUCAUCCCGACUUACCAACCCGAUGCAAACUACGAAUACCGAAGAAUGUUAUCACGGGAGACACACGGCGGGUGCUAACGUCCGUCGUGAAGAGGGAAACAACCCAGACCGCCAGCUAAGGUCCCAAAGUCAUGGUUAAGUGGGAAACGAUGUGGGAAGGCACAGACAGCCAGGAUGUUGGCUUAGAAGCAGCCAUCAUUUAAAGAAAGCGUAAUAGCUCACUGGUCGAGUCGGCCUGCGCGGAAGAUGUAACGGGGCUAAACCAUGCACCGAAGCUGCGGCAGCGACACUAUGUGUUGUUGGGUAGGGGAGCGUUCUGUAAGCCUGCGAAGGUGACCUGUGAGGGUUGCUGGAGGUAUCAGAAGUGCGAAUGCUGACAUAAGUAACGAUAAAGCGGGUGAAAAGCCCGCUCGCCGGAAGACCAAGGGUUCCUGUCCAACGUUAAUCGGGGCAGGGUGAGUCGACCCCUAAGGCGAGGCCGAAAGGCGUAGUCGAUGGGAAACAGGUUAAUAUUCCUGUACUUGGUGUUACUGCGAAGGGGGGACGGAGAAGGCUAUGUUAGCCGGGCGACGGUUGUCCCGGUUUAAGCAUGUAGGCUGAUUAUCCAGGCAAAUCCGGAUAAUCAAGGCUGAGGUGUGAUGACGAGGCACUACGGUGCUGAAGUAACAAAUGCCCUGCUUCCAGGAAAAGCCUCUAAGCAUCAGGUAACAUCAAAUCGUACCCCAAACCGACACAGGUGGUCAGGUAGAGAAUACCAAGGCGCUUGAGAGAACUCGGGUGAAGGAACUAGGCAAAAUGGUGCCGUAACUUCGGGAGAAGGCACGCUGGUGUGUAGGUGAAGUCCCUGCGGAUGGAGCUGAGACCAGUCGAAGAUACCAGCUGGCUGCAACUGUUUAUUAAAAACACAGCACUGUGCAAACACGAAAGUGGACGUAUACGGUGUGACGCCUGCCCGGUGCCGGAAGGUUAAUUGAUGGGGUUAUCCGUAAGGAGAAGCUCUUGAUCGAAGCCCCGGUAAACGGCGGCCGUAACUAUAACGGUCCUAAGGUAGCGAAAUUCCUUGUCGGGUAAGUUCCGACCUGCACGAAUGGCGUAAUGAUGGCCAGGCUGUCUCCACCCGAGACUCAGUGAAAUUGAACUCGCUGUGAAGAUGCAGUGUACCCGCGGCAAGACGGAAAGACCCCGUGAACCUUUACUAUAGCUUGACACUGAACAUUGAGCCUUGAUGUGUAGGAUAGGUGGGAGGCUUUGAAGCGUGGACGCCAGUCUGCGUGGAGCCAACCUUGAAAUACCACCCUUUAAUGUUUGAUGUUCUAACGUUGGCCCCUAAUCGGGGUUGCGGACAGUGUCUGGUGGGUAGUUUGACUGGGGCGGUCUCCUCCCAAAGCGUAACGGAGGAGCACGAAGGUUAGCUAAUCCUGGUCGGACAUCAGGAGGUUAGUGCAAUGGCAUAAGCUAGCUUGACUGCGAGCGUGACGGCGCGAGCAGGUGCGAAAGCAGGUCAUAGUGAUCCGGUGGUUCUGAAUGGAAGGGCCAUCGCUCAACGGAUAAAAGGUACUCCGGGGAUAACAGGCUGAUACCGCCCAAGAGUUCAUAUCGACGGCGGUGUUUGGCACCUCGAUGUCGGCUCAUCACAUCCUGGGGCUGAAGUAGGUCCCAAGGGUAUGGCUGUUCGCCAUUUAAAGUGGUACGCGAGCUGGGUUUAGAACGUCGUGAGACAGUUCGGUCCCUAUCUGCCGUGGGCGCUGGAGAAUUGAGGGGGGCUGCUCCUAGUACGAGAGGACCGGAGUGGACGCAUCACUGGUGUUCGGGUUGUCAUGCCAAUGGCACUGCCCGGUAGCUAAAUGCGGAAGAGAUAAGUGCUGAAAGCAUCUAAGCACGAAACUUGCCCCGAGAUGAGUUCUCCCUGAGACUUUAAGUCUCCUGAAGGAACGUUGAAGACGACGACGUUGAUAGGCCGGGUGUGUAAGCGCAGCGAUGCGUUGAGCUAACCGGUACUAAUGAACCGUGAGGCUUAACCUUACAACGCCGAAG
rnacentral:rRNA from 1 species